GGCGUCCUGAUUUUGCUUAUUGCACCACAUGUGUUUUUUAUUGAACAAAUUUCUUUGGUGGCGGGAGCAAUCCUACCGCCAGAGGUUAUAACUAAACCAAACUUUUUAUUUACAGUCAAACUUGAUUUAUUAUUACAAUAGUCAAAACUUUCAACAACGGAUCUCUUGGUUCUCGCAUCGAUGAAGAACGCAGCGAAAUGCGAUACGUAAUAUGAAUUGCAGAUAUUCGUGAAUCAUCGAAUCUUUGAACGCACAUUGCGCCCUUUGGUAUUCCAAAGGGCAUGCCUGUUUGAGCGUCAUUUCUCCCUCAAACCCCCGGGUUUGGUGUUGAGCAAUACGCUAGGUUUGUUUGAAAGAAUUUAACGUGGAAACUUAUUUUAAGCGACUUAGGUUUAUCCAAAAACGCUUAUUUUGCUAGUGGCCACCACAAUUUAUUUCAUAACUUUGACCUCAAAUCAGGUAGGACUACCCGCUGAACUUAAGCAUAUCAAUAGCCGGAGGAA
rnacentral:rRNA from 1 species